UCCGGUUUGUCACCGACAGUCAUCCUAGAGUGCCCAGCCUUACCUGCUGGCAACUAAGAUCAAGGGUUGCGCUCGUUGCGGGACUUAACCCAACAUCUCACGACACGAGCUGACGACAACCAUGCACCACCUGUCUCCAAUGCUCCGAAGAGGGACACUAUCUCUAGUGCUUUCAUCGGGAUGUCAAGACCUGGUAAGGUUCUUCGCGUUGCUUCGAAUUAAACCACAUACUCCACCGCUUGUGCGGGCCCCCGUCAAUUCCUUUGAGUUUCAGUCUUGCGACCAUACUCCCCAGGCGGCGAACUUAACGCGUUAGCUUCGAUACUGCGUGCCAAAUUGCACCCAACAUCCAGUUCGCAUCGUUUACGGCGUGGACUAC
rnacentral:misc_RNA from 1 species